rnacentral:rRNA from 1 species
UACAGAGGUCCCGAGCGUUGUUCGGAUUCACUGGGCGUAAAGGGUGCGUAGGUGGUGAGGUAAGUCGGAUGUGAAAGCUCGGAGCUCAACUCCGAAAUGGCAUUGGAAACUACCUUGCUAGAGGGUUGGAGGGGGGACUGGAAUGCUUGGCGUAGCAGUGAAAUGCGUAGAUAUCAAGCGGAACACCAGUGGCGAAGGCGAGUCCCUGGACAACUCCUGACACUGAGGCACGAAAGCUAGGGGAGCAAACAGG